GUUAGGUUAGGUUAGGUUAGGUUAGGUUAGGUUAGGUUAGGUUAGGUUAGGUUAGGUUAGGUUAGGUUAGGUUAGGUUAGGUUAGGUUAGGUUAGGCUAGGUUAGGUUAGGUUAGGUUAGGUUAGGUUAGGUUAGGUUAGGUUAGGUUAGGUUAGGUUAGGUUAGGUUAGGUUAGGUUAGGUUAGGUUAGGUUAGGUUAGGUUAGGUUAGGUUAGGUUAGGUUAGGUUAGGUUAGGUUAGGUUAGGUUAGGUUAGGUUAGGUUAGGUUAGGUUAGGUUAGGUUACGUUACGUUACGUUACGUUACGUUACGUUACGUUUCGCUACUUUACGUUACGUUACGGUACGUUACAGGAAACAUUUGUAAUUUAACUGACAUCAUUCUAAGGUCUUAAUUCUUCAAUAUUUUAUACUACUGCCGAACGGAUUUGCUUGAAUUCAUGAAUCCAAAAUUAAACAAGGAGGGAAUUUCCACUAUCAGUCUUCUGAAAUUCCCCUUUUCAACUUUCAAUUCUGCAGUUUUUGUUUCAUAGUAUUUUUCCGGAUCAGUACUUUUACGAUUUGUAAAUAUUUCAUCUAACCAAAGAUGUAUCGAAAGAGGUUUUUAUUUUUAUUUUUUUUUUUUGUUGUUGCUGUUGUUGAGAGGACUUAUACACGUCAUACUCAUACUCUUAAUGGAUUUUUCUCACCUAAACCCCAGUGAUUUUACAUUCCUGUUGGCUGAGCGAGGAUAUGUUUUCAGUUCUUUACCCAAUUUAACGAGAAUAUUGUAUGGGUGGGUGGUAGAACCAUAAAAAUCAUCACUCCUUUGGUAUGGUCGAAGAGGAAAAGAAAGGCAGAAGUCUGGAGGACAAACCUUAUAUUAUAUAUAGAAGAAGACCCAAAGUACACAAACAUAACAUGCGAAGGCUUUAAAAAUUGAAACAUCUUUUACAUUAUCUGGAUUUUUUUUUUCUUCUUAAGAGUUGAUAUCAUCACGUGCAGCAGCUGGGUGAAUGGAGAAUGGAGAUGUUCUGUAAAAAUUGCUACAGGUAAGUGGAAAUCGGAAAAUGAAAACAAAUAUUGGUUUAUAUACUUUUUUUGCUUCUAUAAGGAGAGUCUUAUGUUUUUUAAGAGUACCUACCUACUUACAUAGGUAAUUUGGCAGUAAGUCUUCAUGAGAAGUAAUCUAUAAGCUUGCCCAUGCUUUGAUGUACGAAACUUGGAAAGAAGUAAUCCAAAAUCCAAAGGAAGUAAUGGGAACAAUUUCAAUCAGGACUUUUUGGAUUAUUGAAAUAAGGAUUUUCAGCUUGUGCAAGAUCUGAGAGCGGAAAUUUUUAAAUAGAUGUUCUAUAAUGCCUAAAAAAUAAUUUUUUCGUAGGGGUCUCAGGAAGCUGGAA